rnacentral:rRNA from 1 species
CUGCGCGGAAGAUGUAACGGGGCUAAACCAUGCACCGAAGCUGCGGCAGCGACACUAUGUGUUGUUGGGUAGGGGAGCGUUCUGUAAGCCUGUGAAGGUGGCCUGUGAGGGUUGCUGGAGGUAUCAGAAGUGCGAAUGCUGACAUAAGUAACGAUAAAGCGGGUGAAAAGCCCGCUCGCCGGAAGACCAAGGGUUCCUGUCCAACGUUAAUCGGGGCAGGGUGAGUCGACCCCUAAGGCGAGGCCGAAAGGCGUAGUCGAUGGGAAACAGGUUAAUAUUCCUGUACUUGGUGUUACUGCGAAGGGGGGACGGAGAAGGCUAUGUUGGCCGGGCGACGGUUGUCCCGGUUUAAGCGUGUAGGCUGGUUUUCCAGGCAAAUCCGGAAAACCAAGGCUGAGGCGUGAUGACGAGGCACUACGGUGCUGAAGCGACAAAUGCCCUGCUUCCAGGAAAAGCCUCUAAGCAUCAGGUAACAUCAAAUCGUACCCCAAACCGACACAGGUGGUCAGGUAGAGAAUACCAAGGCGCUUGAGAGAACUCGGGUGAAGGAACUAGGCAAAAUGGUGCCGUAACUUCGGGAGAAGGCACGCUGAUAUGUAGGUGAAGCGACUUGCUCGUGGAGCUGAAAUCAGUCGAAGAUACCAGCUGGCUGCAACUGUUUAUUAAAAACACAGCACUGUGCAAACACGAAAGUGGACGUAUACGGUGUGACGCCUGCCCGGUGCCGGAAGGUUAAUUGAUGGGGUUAGCGGUAACGCGAAGCUCUUGAUCGAAGCCCCGGUAAACGGCGGCCGUAACUAUAACGGUCCUAAGGUAGCGAAAUUCCUUGUCGGGUAAGUUCCGACCUGCACGAAUGGCGUAAUGAUGGCCAGGCUGUCUCCACCCGAGACUCAGUGAAAUUGAACUCGCUGUGAAGAUGCAGUGUACCCGCGGCAAGACGGAAAGACCCCGUGAACCUUUACUAUAGCUUGACACUGAACAUUGAGCCUUGAUGUGUAGGAUAGGUGGGAGGCUUUGAAGUGUGGACGCCAGUCUGCAUGGAGCCGACCUUGAAAUACCACCCUUUAAUGUUUGAUGUUCUAACGUUGGCCCGUAAUCCGGGUUGCGGACAGUGUCUGGUGGGUAGUUUGACUGGGGCGGUCUCCUCCUAAAGAGUAACGGAGGAGCACGAAGGUUGGCUAAUCCUGGUCGGACAUCAGGAGGUUAGUGCAAUGGCAUAAGCCAGCUUGACUGCGAGCGUGACGGCGCGAGCAGGUGCGAAAGCAGGUCAUAGUGAUCCGGUGGUUCUGAAUGGAAGGGCCAUCGCUCAACGGAUAAAAGGUACUCCGGGGAUAACAGGCUGAUACCGCCCAAGAGUUCAUAUCGACGGCGGUGUUUGGCACCUCGAUGUCGGCUCAUCACAUCCUGGGGCUGAAGUAGGUCCCAAGGGUAUGGCUGUUCGCCAUUUAAAGUGGUACGCGAGCUGGGUUUAGAACGUCGUGAGACAGUUCGGUCCCUAUCUGCCGUGGGCGCUGGAGAACUGAGGGGGGCUGCUCCUAGUACGAGAGGACCGGAGUGGACGCAUCACUGGUGUUCGGGUUGUCAUGCCAAUGGCACUGCCCGGUAGCUAAAUGCGGAAGAGAUAAGUGCUGAAAGCAUCUAAGCACGAAACUUGCCCCGAGAUGAGUUCUCCCUGAGACUUAGAGUCUCCUGAAGGAACGUUGAAGACGACGACGUUGAUAGGCCGGGUGUGUAAGCGCAGCGAUGCGUUGAGCUAACCGGUACUAAUGAACCGUGAGGCUUAACCUUACAACGCCGAAG